CUAAUGUUUUCCUGUGCAGCCGUCAAAGGGACUGUGAAAUGUCUCCCUUCUUGGUCAGCAUAUCACAGCCACCUUUGAUGAGCUGUACACGAAUCGGACUC
rnacentral:pre_miRNA from 1 species